AUCUUUGUAAAGGGGGCAAGCCUGGAUCUUCCCCUCCGGGGGGAGCCAGAAAGUCUUUCGAUCGUUAAAGCUCGUUCGACGGGAAGGAAAUACAGCCUCUUAAUACCCGGGAGGAAUGACGGUACCCGCAGAGGAAGCACCGGCUAACUACGUGCCAGCAGCCGCGGUAAUACGUAGGGUGCGAGCGUUGUUCUGAAUUAUUGGGCGUAAAGAGUGCGUAGGGGGUUUGUUAAGUCAGAGGUGAAAUCCCCCGGCUCAACCCGGGAAAUGCGCUUGAGACUGCCAGGCUCGAGUGUGGCAGAGGGGGGUGGAAUUCCCCGUGUAGCGGUGAAAUGCGUAGAUAUCUGGAGGAACACCGGUGGGGAAGGCGGCCCCCUGGGCCGACACUGACGCUCAGGCGCGAAAGCGUGGGGAGCGAACAGGAUUAGAUACCCCGGUAGUCCACGCCCUAAACGAUGUGCACUAGGUGUUGGGGAUGUACCUCUUCAGUGCCGA
rnacentral:rRNA from 1 species